rnacentral:misc_RNA from 1 species
UCAACCUAGUAGGGACGUUUCCCUGCGCCCAACGACUUUUGUCGGGAUCGUGGCAAGUCUGCGAUCGAGGGGGUGAUGUUGAGAGCCGGAAGGCAAGAGGGUGCAAACACCAGUCGGCCUUUGUCCCGAUUGCUGAGUGUUAUGUGCUUGAUGUCCAAGGCUUGAUGCUGAUCUUCCAAGUGGGGCUUGUCCCUGCACCAAUGGCUUUUGCCAGGAUCAUGGUGUUUGCUGUGAUCGAAAAAAUGAGGGGGUGAUGUUGAGAGCCGGAAGGCAAGGGGGUGCAAACACCAGUCGGCCUUUGUCCCGAUUGCUGAGUGUUAUGUGCUUGACGUCCAAGGCUUGAUUCUGACCCUCCAAGUGGGGCUUUUUUGUUCCUGCGGUAACGACUUUGUUGGGAUCAUUGUGAUCAAGUUUGGUUGGUUUCGUAUUGUGGUGGGUUUUUUCGAAGCUUCUAUUGUUCUUUUACGCAUCGUGCGGUGCAUCUUGGGGGCUGUUUUGGCUUUUGGUUGCUUGCUUGGGCUUUAUGCUAGGCGGGUCGCUAAU